rnacentral:lncRNA from 1 species
AUGGGGAGCCACAAAAUGGCUGAAAGCAGCAACAACAAAGACUUGGCUUUCUCACACCUGCUCCCACACGCUGGGCUGCCUGGAGAAAAGUUACCACAGCCACAGCCCGACCCGCGCUCUCUUGCCACAGACCUUUAGAAGACAGGAGGAUUUCACCUCAGGAGACGCCCUCCUUUGCCUCCCAGAUGAUUUAGAUGAAUCUACCAUAGUGCACCAGCAACAUCUAGCAUCACACUUAUGCUGUUUUUUAACCUGUGAUUUGCAUAUUGCUUCCCUUGCAAAACUGGAAACAUCUUCAAAGGAAGGGAUGCUUCUCAGUGUUUGCAUCUCCAGCGCCUAGGACAGCGUUUGCAGAGAGCAAAUGCUCAGUGUAUGAAUCCCAUUGCUUGUGAAGCUGUGAUUAUGACCCUGGUCUCCUUGGCUAUCACAGGAACCAAGCCCCACUCUGCUUUGGUGUAAGCCCAGAGUAGUUCAAGCCAAGGGUGCUCUGACGUGGACUCAGUCCCUGGCCGGUGAUGACUCAUUGCUGGGGCUUUCCCUUCCAGGGAUUCAUCUGAUAGACGGGAGCUCCUAGAAUGCCUUACCUCCCAUUGGAUGCGGGAUUCCAGCACUGCCAC